GACGAACGCUGGCGGCGUGCUUAACACAUGCAAGUCGAACGGAAAGGCCCUGCUUUUGUGGGGUGCUCGAGUGGCGAACGGGUGAGUAACACGUGAGUAACCUGCCCUUGACUUUGGGAUAACUUCAGGAAACUGGGGCUAAUACCGGAUAGGAGCUCCUGCUGCAUGGUGGGGGUUGGAAAGUUUCGGCGGUUGGGGAUGGACUCGCGGCUUAUCAGCUUGUUGGUUGGGUAGUGGCUUACCAAGGCUUUGACGGGUAGCCGGCCUGAGAGGGUGACCGGCCACAUUGGGACUGAGAUACGGCGCAGACUCCUACGGGAGGCAGCAGUGGAGAAUAUUGCACAGUGGGCGGAAGCCUGAUGCAGAAACGCCGCGUGCGGGAUGACGGCCUUCGGGUUGUAAACCGCUUUCGCCUGUGACGAAGCGUGAGUGACGGUAAUGGGUAAAGAAGCACCGGCUAACUACGUG
rnacentral:rRNA from 1 species